GAGCCUUGCGGGACUCCAGCUGUGAGAG
rnacentral:sRNA from 1 species